rnacentral:rRNA from 1 species
AACGAACGCUGGCGGCAUGCCUAACACAUGCAAGUCGAACGGGAUCCUAGCUUGCUAGGUGAGAGUGGCGGACGGGUGAGUAACACGUGGGAAUCUGCCUUUUGGUUCGGGAUAACCGCGGGAAACUGCGGCUAAUACCGAAUGCCCUCGAGAGAGGAAAGAUUUAUCGCCAGAAGAGGAGCCCGCGUCCGAUUAGGUAUUGGUGGGGUAAAGGCCUACCAAGCCGACGAUCGGUAGCUGGUCUGAGAGGAUGAUCAGCCACACUGGGACUGAGAUACGGCCCAGACUCCUACGGGAGGCAGCAGUGGGGAAUAUUGGACAAUAGGGGCAACCCUGAUCCAGCAAUGCCGCGUGAGUGAUGAAGGCCUUAGGG